UACGUAGGGUGCAAGCGUUGUCCGGAAUUAUUGGGCGUAAAGAGCUCGUAGGCGGCUUGUUGCGUCAGCUGUGAAAACCCGCAGCUCAACUGUGGGCUUGCAGCUGAUACGGGCAGGCUUGAGUUCGGUAGGGGAGACUGGAAUUCCUGGUGUAGCGGUGAAAUGCGCAGAUAUCAGGAAGAACACCCGUGGCGAAGGCGGCUCUCUGGAACGCAACUGACGCUGAGACGCGAAAGCGUGGGGAGCAAACAGG
rnacentral:rRNA from 1 species